rnacentral:rRNA from 1 species
ACUAAGCGUACACGGUGGAUGCCCUGGCAGUCAGAGGCGAUGAAGGACGUGCUAAUCUGCGAUAAGCGUCGGUAAGGUGAUAUGAACCGUUAUAACCGGCGAUUUCCGAAUGGGGAAACCCAGUGUGUUUCGACACACUAUCAUUAACUGAAUCCAUAGGUUAAUGAGGCGAACCGGGGGAACUGAAACAUCUAAGUACCCCGAGGAAAAGAAAUCAACCGAGAUUCCCCCAGUAGCGGCGAGCGAACGGGGAGCAGCCCAGAGCCUGAAUCAGUAUGUGUGUUAGUGGAAGCGUCUGGAAAGGCGCGCGAUACAGGGUGACAGCCCCGUACACAAAAAUGCACAUGCUGUGAGCUCGAUGAGUAGGGCGGGACACGUGGUAUCCUGUCUGAAUAUGGGGGGACCAUCCUCCAAGGCUAAAUACUCCUGACUGACCGAUAGUGAACCAGUACCGUGAGGGAAAGGCGAAAAGAACCCCGGCGAGGGGAGUGAAAAAGAACCUGAAACCGUGUACGUACAAGCAGUGGGAGCCUCUUUUAUGGGGUGACUGCGUACCUUUUGUAUAAUGGGUCAGCGACUUAUAUUCUGUAGCAAGGUUAACCGAAUAGGGGAGCCGAAGGGAAACCGAGUCUUAACUGGGCGUUAAGUUGCAGGGUAUAGACCCGAAACCCGGUGAUCUAGCCAUGGGCAGGUUGAAGGUUGGGUAACACUAACUGGAGGACCGAACCGACUAAUGUUGAAAAAUUAGCGGAUGACUUGUGGCUGGGGGUGAAAGGCCAAUCAAACCGGGAGAUAGCUGGUUCUCCCCGAAAGCUAUUUAGGUAGCGCCUCGUGAAUUCAUCUCCGGGGGUAGAGCACUGUUUCGGCAAGGGGGUCAUCCCGACUUACCAACCCGAUGCAAACUGCGAAUACCGGAGAAUGUUAUCACGGGAGACACACGGCGGGUGCUAACGUCCGUCGUGAAGAGGGAAACAACCCAGACCGCCAGCUAAGGUCCCAAAGUCAUGGUUAAGUGGGAAACGAUGUGGGAAGGCCCAGACAGCCAGGAUGUUGGCUUAGAAGCAGCCAUCAUUUAAAGAAAGCGUAAUAGCUCACUGGUCGAGUCGGCCUGCGCGGAAGAUGUAACGGGGCUAAACCAUGCACCGAAGCUGCGGCAGCGACGCUGAUGCGUUGUUGGGUAGGGGAGCGUUCUGUAAGCCUGCGAAGGUGUGCUGUGAGGCAUGCUGGAGGUAUCAGAAGUGCGAAUGCUGACAUAAGUAACGAUAAAGCGGGUGAAAAGCCCGCUCGCCGGAAGACCAAGGGUUCCUGUCCAACGUUAAUCGGGGCAGGGUGAGUCGACCCCUAAGGCGAGGCCGAAAGGCGUAGUCGAUGGGAAACAGGUUAAUAUUCCUGUACUUGGUGUUACUGCGAAGGGGGGACGGAGAAGGCUAUGUUGGCCGGGCGACGGUUGUCCCGGUUUAAGCGUGUAGGCUGGUUUUCCAGGCAAAUCCGGAAAAUCAAGGCUGAGGCGUGAUGACGAGGCACUACGGUGCUGAAGCAACAAAUGCCCUGCUUCCAGGAAAAGCCUCUAAGCAUCAGGUAACAUCAAAUCGUACCCCAAACCGACACAGGUGGUCAGGUAGAGAAUACCAAGGCGCUUGAGAGAACUCGGGUGAAGGAACUAGGCAAAAUGGUGCCGUAACUUCGGGAGAAGGCACGCUGAUAUGUAGGUGAAGCGACUUGCUCGUGGAGCUGAAAUCAGUCGAAGAUACCAGCUGGCUGCAACUGUUUAUUAAAAACACAGCACUGUGCAAACACGAAAGUGGACGUAUACGGUGUGACGCCUGCCCGGUGCCGGAAGGUUAAUUGAUGGGGUUAGCGCAAGCGAAGCUCUUGAUCGAAGCCCCGGUAAACGGCGGCCGUAACUAUAACGGUCCUAAGGUAGCGAAAUUCCUUGUCGGGUAAGUUCCGACCUGCACGAAUGGCGUAAUGAUGGCCAGGCUGUCUCCACCCGAGACUCAGUGAAAUUGAACUCGCUGUGAAGAUGCAGUGUACCCGCGGCAAGACGGAAAGACCCCGUGAACCUUUACUAUAGCUUGACACUGAACAUUGAGCCUUGAUGUGUAGGAUAGGUGGGAGGCUUUGAAGUGUGGACGCCAGUCUGCAUGGAGCCGACCUUGAAAUACCACCCUUUAAUGUUUGAUGUUCUAACGUGGACCCGUGAUCCGGGUUGCGGACAGUGUCUGGUGGGUAGUUUGACUGGGGCGGUCUCCUCCUAAAGAGUAACGGAGGAGCACGAAGGUUGGCUAAUCCUGGUCGGACAUCAGGAGGUUAGUGCAAUGGCAUAAGCCAGCUUGACUGCGAGCGUGACGGCGCGAGCAGGUGCGAAAGCAGGUCAUAGUGAUCCGGUGGUUCUGAAUGGAAGGGCCAUCGCUCAACGGAUAAAAGGUACUCCGGGGAUAACAGGCUGAUACCGCCCAAGAGUUCAUAUCGACGGCGGUGUUUGGCACCUCGAUGUCGGCUCAUCACAUCCUGGGGCUGAAGUAGGUCCCAAGGGUAUGGCUGUUCGCCAUUUAAAGUGGUACGCGAGCUGGGUUUAGAACGUCGUGAGACAGUUCGGUCCCUAUCUGCCGUGGGCGCUGGAGAACUGAGGGGGGCUGCUCCUAGUACGAGAGGACCGGAGUGGACGCAUCACUGGUGUUCGGGUUGUCAUGCCAAUGGCACUGCCCGGUAGCUAAAUGCGGAAGAGAUAAGUGCUGAAAGCAUCUAAGCACGAAACUUGCCCCGAGAUGAGUUCUCCCUGACCCUUUAAGGGUCCUGAAGGAACGUUGAAGACGACGACGUUGAUAGGCCGGGUGUGUAAGCGCAGCGAUGCGUUGAGCUAACCGGUACUAAUGAACCGUGAGGCUUAACC